ensembl:lncRNA
AAGAGGAGUACACCACAGGUCACAUGACCCCACUGAAGAGGAGUACACCACAGGUCACAUGACCCCACUGAAGAGGAGUACACCACAGGUCACAUGACCCCACUGAAGAGGAGUACACCACAGGUCACAUGACCCCAAUGAAUAAGUCACAUGACCACACUGGAUAAAAUUACACAGUAGGAAGUUGCAUGACCACUGAAGAUGAUCUAGAAUUCAAACAUGGAUAGCUGUGGCAUGCGAUUCAGCUCGUGAGCUUGACCACGAAAAAGACACUGAUCUCAUGUAUCCGGCUUCUCAAGGUAAAAGGAGAUCAAUAGCGAAGAGAACGGGGAACUCUCAUGCAAGUAGAACUCGCUAUUCCCAUCUAAUCGAAUCUUGGAAUGCACCAGAGACGCAGAGGAAAGGGAACGGAGGGAGCCGGAGCUGCGAUGCUAAACUCACCUGUUCUUAGCAGUGGUCAUGCUGCUGGGAUCCCAGAACGCAAGCAGAGAAGGGAAAAGCAACACAAAGAACAGGGAUCCGCCAUCAGACUUUACUCUUUACACACAGAAACACCCAGAGAGAGGGAGGAGGGGGUUUCAAUAACCACUGGUGAUGGAGCAUUCCUUUGGGCGAGAUGCAGGUAUGCCAUCAUGUAAGAGCAAGCGGCAGUCAACUGAUCUGCCAGUGGGAGCAGAUCUACUGUGAGUUUUGCAAUCAUAACAAAAUCUAAAAUGUGGCAUUUGCGAGCGCCCGAUCAACAUGAUGCCCUGACACUGAGAGAAAUAGAGAUAUCCCUCUAUCCAUCAUCCAUAUAUAUCUAUAUCUAUAUACACACACACACACCCCUAUAUAUACGAGGGAUCCAACCUUUGAAGUGUGAGCUCUAAUCAGUCAGUGAUGCCGACGCCCAUCAGCUUACCUGGCGUUUCCCAGUCGGUAAUUGAGGGGCCCCACGUCGACGCGAGGUGUGAGCCCCCCCUCGCGGCUCUGGAUCACGCCAUUCAGGCUGCCCACCUGGCCCCCCCCCAGGCCCGUGGCGACCGACGCUAGGCCGUUGAGCUGGGGCGGGCUCUGGGAGACCGAGGGCGGCGUGGAGAGGGAGGAGGUGGAGCCAUUGCUGCUACGGCCGCCGCACGACGCACUGUCCUGGGGAGGGAGGGGGGGAGGGAGAGAGAGAGAAAGAGAGAGAAUGAGAGUACGAGGGUUGGGGAGAGAGACAGAGAGGAGGGGAGAGAGAAGGAGAGAGAGAAGAGAGGGACAGAGGCACAGUGUCAUUUCUGUCAUGUGCUGUUGAAUUGAUAGUCCACCAUUCACCAUUAGGCACGCCAGCGUCGCUCUCUCUCUCUCUCUCUCUCUCUCUCUCUCUCUCUCUCUCUCUCUCUCUCUCUCUCUCUCUC